UGUGAAACGGACAGUGUAUUUCUCUUAAAGGUACGCUGUCAUUUUUGAAGGCCCCUCAGUCCCUGGACUGCCACCAAGUGGUUGCUCUGUCACUCUGGUGGUCCACGGGGCCACAAAGACACGCUCUGUUCUCACAGAGGAACGCUGGUGUCAGGCUUGCUGGUCCCCAGACUCUUGCUAUUUUAGCCUAAAUCCUGUUGGUUUCACAUUGAGCCUGAUUUCUCUGUGGAUUCCCUCUCUCCCUGAUACAAGGACCUACUCCCUGAACAGACUGUAAAGUUUUAAAUCAGCUUCAUAACAGACAAAGGAAGAAGACAUCCUUCCACCUCGAGGGGAGGUGGCAAGGACAGCGUUCCCGCCACACUGUCGCCCCCUCCUGGUGGCAGUGGGAGGCAACUCCGUGGCUUCCUAAGGCUAAGGCUGGGCUUUGUUUUGUGGAUGAGAACAUAGCCAUGGUAACGCUGCCAUCCAGACACAAGAGAGGUUUAAGCCAGCUGGACACACAGCUUCCCUCCGUCCUCGGCUCCAGGACUCAUCUCGGACAGGGCCGCCCUGCCGGCCUCCGCCGAGGAGCGGCGCGUGGUUCAUCCUGCCCAGCGGCACGUGGGGCAGGGAGGUCUCCUGCAGGUCCUGCUUGGGUUCGGAAUCAUUUAGUCAUCAGAAAGCGCUUGGGAGCUGUGCCAACAGAUGAGAAAUCAGAGUAGGAACUUUUCUCCUCCCUCCUCCACCGCUGGGCGGGGCCGAAGGCCUGGCGCCGUUUGAGUGCUGUCACUGGGCUCUCCGGGCCCGGCUGUCCCGUCCCCUUUUCCCUUUGAGGGUCCCAGGAACUGCAGGGCGGCUGAGCGGUUCUCUCUUCCCUAGGAGGUAGAGUUCAAGAAAGCAGCUGUGCCAAGGGCAUUUGCAGGUGGCUGUGCUGCGCCGGCCUCUUCUCCUGGCCAGUGCUGGCGUGAGGGGACAGUGCCACCCGCCUCCGUCUCCUGGUCCCCUGGCAUCUUGUCCCAGCAUGGAAGCCAAGGUCGGCCGUGCAACCCGCACUAGACCUGGCCCGGGGCUGGGAACAGGCAUUAAAACUUCGCAGUGGCAGCCCUUGGGCAGCAGAGGGCGGUAGCCUGGAGCGGCCCUGUCGCCUGCGGAGGAAGCUCCCACAUAAUCCCACCUCUGGGCGGUGGUGGCCCCAGCUUCCCGACCCCUGGAUGGAGCCACCUUGGUUCUGGCGUCUGCUCUGAGCAGGGUCCCACAGGCUCGCUGGAAAUUCUGCCUCCAGUCGGUUCUUCAGUGAGAAUAAUAACAGCAGCCGAUCCGCAAGCCGGGUAGAGCGUGGGAAAUGGUCGCACGGAACCACUUCGAUCACUGGAAGCAGCAGUCCCGUGUGGCCCUCCCAGAGCACACCUCAGGAUUAGGUAAAAUCUCCACAGCAAGUGCUCCCGGGGUGCGGCGGGCAGGCAAGCAGAGCCGUGGUCGCAGCGGAGCUUCUGGCGGAAGGUUUGUAAUUCGGCUGUGCGUGCCGGGAAGUGGGAGUCAGCGCGGGCAUUUCCGGGGUACAGGAGCGAAGGUGACGCGUCGACUGACAGCGAGAGCCCACGGUGAUCCAGAGCAAGGCCACCCAGCCUCACGCGCCUGCUCGCCGGGUGGAUUCUGAGCACACGCCCGCUGGAGACCGGGGAGAGCCGAGCCCUGCGAGCUCGGAGAGCCCGUCACCUGUUCUCAGCUCGUCCUCCAGCCGAGGUGGCCUGAGCGCCCUGUGGGGUCGAGGCUGAGAAUGUGGCACACACCGAGGCCCGCAACCAGCAGGUGACAGAGCGGACUUAGAACCCAGACCCGGCUCGCAGAGUGCGUCAGCUGCCACCCUGGGCCCAUUCCUCACAGGGCAGAACCUUGGCUCCACACUCAGUGGCCUGGUCCCCAACACAGGGCCUCCACUGUGCCCUGGGUCUGGGCUGCGAACUCGGUGUCCAUCCUGGGCAGCUGCAGAAGGGGCUCUGGAUGCCCAGGAGGCUCUUCCAUCUCUGCAGCUUCCACAGGUAUGGACCUCUCCAGUCCUUUCCUCAUGGCCAUCACAAUGGAGUCCCAAGUCAAAGUUGUGCUACAUCCAGGUCCAGAUCCAGAUCCAACGGAGGAGAUCCACGAGGUGUGAUCAAAAACGCAGGGACCACUGCUGCCCGGCAGCUUGUAAAACCGCGAUGCUGUGUCCUCCUCCUCCUUACUCACCAGAUCCAGCACCGCGUGACUUCUGGCUCCUCCCCAAAGUCAGCAUGAGCAGGCAGCGGGGAGUGCUCUGGAUCAGGUCAGGACGUCAAGCAACCAGGACAGCGCCACUGAAGACCCUCAGGAGGGAGCACUCCCGAGCUGCUGCAGGACGUGGCCAGGACCCGGGAGGAGUGUGUUUGAAGUGAGUGGAGGAUUCUGAGGGAGAGUCGUGGCAAUGUGUCUUUACUGUGAUACAGUUUUAAGAAUCUAAACACACACCGUAGUUUACCGAUGGCACCACGUGCAGCUGGAGUCCUGCCAUGGAGAGGUGCACUCAGCCCUCCCCUCGGCACCCUGGAGGGCUGCAGUGUGGGUCAAGCUGAGGAGUGGCCGGGUACUGGCUGAGGGUGGGCGGUGCCCCCAGGCCCCAGACUCUGUGUCUGUAUCUCCCUGCCUUAGGCCUUUUCCCGCUCCUCCUCCUCCUCUACCUCUCCUUCUUUCUCUUCCUCUUCCUCCUCCUCUCUCUCCUUCCCCUCUAAUGCAGGGGACCUGCUCUGUAGUUGUCCAGGACAAGACAGCAAGGUCGUCCCAGGGGCCUCUGACAGCCCCAGCCCGGUGACCUGUUUGAGCAGCUGCUCCCCAGGCAGGUGGCUUCCUUCACCUUGCUCCCAGCAUGCCCUGCAGGAUAGAGUAUGGGGUAACAUGGUUAGGGACAAGCUCUUUCCUGGCCUCCGGCCUCCCUGCCUCACCUCCUCUCCCAUGGCGAGGGAGGAGCCCUCUGGAGGAGCCGUUCACCCGCCUCUGAAGACAGGAGUGUAAAGAGUUAGGACCAGAAGUUCUGCUCCGAAUCUGUGAUCUGGGUGAGUUUCGUAACCUCAAGUUAAGUUCUGGGCCGAAGUCCUCCGUCUGUAUAAUGCACACCGCAUCUCACAGCUUCUCCAGGGAACAGUCAACGUGUGAAACUGUUAAUCCAGGGCCUCUGUGAAAUGCAUAAGUAAAUGGUAAAGAAGUAAACACCGCGGAGCGGACCCACUCGAGGCCCUUUUGCGGCCAGGCACCCGCCCAACAAGCAGGACCUACCGUCUGUCAAACCCAUCUCAGGGAGGCAGAAGUACCCUAGACGAAAGUGUGUUAAUUAGGCUUUGAAACCAACACAGAACAUCCCAGAAAAUGAACUUGGAGCCAGUCCUGGGUUCUAAAACCAGAAGAAAGUUCAGGAGUUGAAGGAGGUCGCUUCAGGGACAGGGAAGACACAGUCGCUCUGAAGCCCGAGGGCCUUGGGGCUGGCGGCCAGAGGAGGCACUGCACUCUCCGUCCGCGAUGCCACACUGCCACCGUGUGACCCCGGCAGUCACCAGGCACGGGACCAGGUAGGUGGGUCCGGGCUUGUGUGGUCUGGCUGUUACGAAAAGGGGGGCCCUUCCUCCAGAAAGCUGUAACAGACUAUCCGGUAGCCCCCCACUCCCUUCCCCGUGGCCUUGCUUCCCAAGGCUUCAGUUGCUUUAGGUCAACUGCAGUCCCCAAAUACAGAAACUUUCAGUCACUAACAAUCCCAGAGCUUUGAACUGCACACCUUUCUGAGCAGCGAGAUGAAGUCCCAGGCACGGAGGCCGGGUCCGCGGUCAGUGUCUCCAGCCAUGUGCACUACCCGCCCCCGAGUCGCCGAGAAGCCGCCCGGCCACCAGGUGGCGCAGCAGUGCUCACAGGUGAGUGCCCAGGCACCCACGGGUGCUCUGGGACCUCUGUGCCAGGAAAAGUAGGACUAUAAUGUCACAGUGACACACGUGACAAAAGCACAUGGUCACACAGCAGAUGAGAGGGCCUUGGAGGACCAGAGCAAGGGACCCGACGCUGAGACUGAUGUCCCCGCAACACAGCUGCCGCCGGUCCUAGCAGGUGCCCUGUACAAGGGAAUCUAUAACAGACUGACAGAGCCUCGUGCCGAAAUGUGCUUUACAGAGAGCUCCUUGAGCCUGGAUUCCGUAUCUGAGCAGAAUAAGAAGGGCAGGCUUUGGGUCAGACUAGAGUAAUUACAGCCUAAGCAGCAGAUGAAGUCCAGGAGACGGCACCUCGGCGAGUUUAAAUAUGUGAACCUCAGCUAUCCUUUUGCAAGUGAACACUAGCCAUCCAAAUGAGAGCCUAUUUCUAAAAAAUGAAAUAGCAUAACAAAAAUAUAUAAAUCCACAGAAUACAGAAGUCAUCAAGACUAGCAUUUAGUGAUAUUUUCCAAGCACAUGGCAGAGAAUGUUUCUUAAAUUGCUUGAAAUUGUCUGCACCAAUUGAAUCAUUCAUGCACUCAAAAAUCUAUUCAGUCUUGCCUCGGUUUGAGUACCAGAAUGAGGACUUGGCUGCAGGUAGCUGUGGGCAAGGGGAAGGUGGAGAGUUUCAGGGUACGUUUCUGAGGCCCAGUCGAUAGCGUUCUCAGAUGCACUGGGUAGAAGGAAUUGAGAGGCAACGCCAGGAUUUUUGGUUUGAGCAUCUGGAUGCCUGAGGAUCAUUUAUUGAGAAGGGGAAGCCAAUGGACCAGGUUCUCGGGAGAAACCGCGUCCAGAUGUGUAUCCUGCCCUGUGAGAAGGAGGCUGAUUUACUGCAAGGCAUCGCUCAAGCAAGACCUGCAGUCCGCAAGCUGGAGACUAAGCGUAGCUGAUGUAGGGGUCCAGGCCAAGGCUGAAGGCCCAACAACCAGGAUGACACAUGGUGUAGGUUCCAGCUCAAGCCCUUGUAGGAAGGCAGGAGAAGACCAAUGACCUAGCUCACAGACAGAAAAAAUUCCUUCUUGCUCAGUUUUUGUUUUUAUUUUUUCCACUACUAAGAAUUGAACCCAGGGCUUUUAUACUGAGCUACAU